GGUGUGCACUCGUUCGUGUGCUAAUAUGAAUACCUAAACGUGGGCAUAAGAUUUUUGAGGCCAUCUAUGAGCGAUUUCAUGGGCCUAGGUUGUUUCGGGCCAUUUUGGGCCGAGAAUGGCCGUGUGGGCCCCACGGGCAUGUGGGCCCCACAUGGGUAAACCACAUGAACAUGUGGAGAACGUUGGCCUAAGUUGUGUAAUAGACAC
rnacentral:lncRNA from 1 species